CCUGGUGGCUCAGACGGUAAAGCACCUGCCUUCAAUGCAGGAGACGUGGGUUCGUAUCCCUGGGUCGGGA
rnacentral:tRNA from 1 species